CCCUGACUAAGCCCCCUGUUCACCUCAACCUCACUCUUGCCCUUGAUGAGUAGGCGCUUGCUCAGGAAGCUGGCAAUCCAGGCAGUGUGAUUCGGGUCGAACUGCAUGACAUUCAUCUUCUGCUCUAGCGUGUCGACUCUUACGCAGUCAAAUGCCCUUUGUAGGUCAAGACAGGCCGCCACGACCUGAUUCCCUCCCGCUUUCAGAGCCA
rnacentral:lncRNA from 1 species